rnacentral:rRNA from 1 species
UACGUAGGGUGCAAGCGUUAUCCGGAAUUAUUGGGCGUAAAGAGCUUGUAGGCGGUUUGUCGCGUCUGCCGUGAAAAUCCGAGGCUCAACCUCGGACUUGCGGUGGGUACGGGCAGACUAGAGUGUGGUAGGGGAGACUGGAAUUCCUGGUGUAGCGGUGAAAUGCGCAGAUAUCAGGAGGAACACCGAUGGCGAAGGCAGGUCUCUGGGCCACUACUGACGCUGAGAAGCGAAAGCAUGGGGAGCGAACAGG